AGCAGCCGCGGUAAUUCCAGCUCCAAUAGCGUAUAUUAAAGUUGUUGCAGUUAAAAAGCUCGUAGUUGAAUUUCGGGGUCUGUCCAUUGGUCGGGCUUCACGGUCCGUACUGGUGUGAUGGGUUCCUACCUUCUGAAUAACCAGCAUGCCAUUCAGUUGGUGCGCCGGGGAAGCAGAGCUAUUACCUUGAAAAAUUAGAGUGCUUAAAGCAGGCUAGUGCUUGAAUAGAUUAGCAUGGAAUAAUAAAAUAGGACGGCAUGGUUCUAUUUUGUUGGUUUCUAGGAUCACCGUAAUGAUUAAUAGGGAUAGUUGGGGCAUUAGUAUUCAAUUGUCAGAGGUGAAAUUCUUGGAUUUAUUGAAGACUAAACUUC
rnacentral:rRNA from 1 species